rnacentral:misc_RNA from 1 species
AACGCAAAUUGCGCUUUUUGGAUAGGCCAGAAAGCAUGCCUCUUUGAGUAUCGUUUUCACCCCAGCUCGACUGCUCUUUUGUGUAACAACGAAUGAGUUUAUGUCGGAGAAUGAGUUUUGUCUUGUCUGAAAUAGAUAAGUCACUUUAAAUGCUGUGAGUGUUACAAUCAUUUACUAUUCAGUGUUGGUCUCAGAUAGCAAUAUCUGGGAGCUUAGUUAAUAAGCUAAUCGCUAGUAGUAUUGUGGAUAAUUUUAUUUACAAUACACGCUAUGGUUAGAGUGUUAGCCAAAGUAAUCUCAUUGGAUACGAUUGUCUUAACAUUCAGUGGAAAUUAAUCUAAUACAUUAAAAACGUAUUAAUACCUUUUGAAUUAGAUCUCAAAUGAAGCAAGACUACCCGCUGAACUUAA